UGGGGGGUCUUACACAUGCAAGUCGUACCAUGGAUAGACACGUCGGGGUGGAUUAGUGGCGAACGGGUGAGUAACACGUGGGCAAUCUGCCCUUCACUCUGGGACAAGCCCUGGAAACGGGGUCUAAUACCGGAUACGACCCGGGAGCGCAUGCUUCUGGGUGGAAAGCUCCGGCGGUGAAGGAUGAGCCCGCGGCCUAUCAGCUUGUUGGUGGGGUGAUGGCCUACCAAGGCGACGACGGGUAGCCGGCCUGAGAGGGCGACCGGCCACACUGGGACUGAGACACGGCCCAGACUCCUACGGGAGGCAGCAGUGGGGAAUAUUGCACAAUGGGCGAAAGCCUGAUGCAGCGACGCCGCGUGAGGGAUGACGGCCUUCGGGUUGUAAACCUCUUUCAGCAGGGAAGAAGCGCAAGUGACGGUACCUGCAGAAGAAGCGCCGGCUAACUACGUGCCAGCAGCCGCGGUAAUACGUAGGGCGCAAGCGUUGUCCGGAAUUAUUGGGCGUAAAGAGCUCGUAGGCGGCUUGUCACGUCGGAUGUGAAAGCCCGGGGCUUAACCCCGGGUCUGCAUUCGAUACGGGCUAGCUAGAGUGUGGUAGGGGAGAUCGGAAUUCCUGGUGUAGCGGUGAAAUGCGCAGAUAUCAGGAGGAACACCGGUGGCGAAGGCGGAUCUCUGGGCCAUUACUGACGCUGAGGAGCGAAAGCGUGGGGAGCGAACAGGAUUAGAUACCCUGGUAGUCCACGCCGUAAACGUUGGGAACUAGGUGUUGGCGACA
rnacentral:rRNA from 1 species